rnacentral:misc_RNA from 1 species
AAGUCGUAACAAGGUUUCCGUAGGUGAACCUGCGGAAGGAUCAUUCGUGUAAAUUAGUGCUGAGUCGGGUUAAAUGGGGUGAUACCCGCCGACUUGAGCUAUUAUACAUCCUUUUAACACUGUGAACUAUAAGAUGACCUAGUAGUGUUGACAUUGGCUCUGCUUUCGGGUAUCUAUUGUUAACCAGAAGCAGGCUUCUUGGGGCUUAUAUUAACCAAACUAUAUCAUUAUUGCCUAAAAUUUAUUUAAUAAUUACAACCUUUAACAAUGGAUCUCUUGGCUCCU